CUAUAUUUGUAAGAUUUAUUAAUUUGUUGCCAGAGAUUGAGGUUACUCAUUCUCAUUACUUAUAUUAUUCCAUUGUGUGAAAAUUUUACUGUAAAGAAAGAGACAUUUGAGUUAUUUUUAGAUUUGAUUCUUACAAUGCUGCUGUGAAUAUGGCUUUUCUUGAAAAUAUACAUGUAUUUUUGUUGUUUAUAACUAGGAAUGAAAUUGUAGGGUCAUAACAUAUGCCAAACAAAGUAGUUGUACAUAUUUAUAUCCCAGCAGGAAUAUUAAUGCUUGGUACUGUCUUUUCAUUUUAGCCAUAUGGUGGAUGUAUAAUGGUAUUGUGUGUGUUUUAUUUGCAUUUCACUGAGUAAUUAAGUUGAUCACUUUUUAUUUAGAUUUGUUUUUUGAAUACCUAUUUUGCCACGUUUAUAAUUAGUUUCUGUCCUUUUUUUUUUUCUUGAUUUGUAGAGUUGUUUAUAUGUUUUGCUCUGAGGACAUUUUUAGUCCAUCUAUUACUUUACUCCCAGCUUUUCUAUCUCCUCUGAUCUUUAUUGACCUCUUAACUGCCUGUAAGUUUAGGAUUAGGCUUUGGAGUGGUUUUAUUUUACUUUCUAGGUAAUUGUAUCUUGUUAUCUCCUUGCAAGGAGCACUUCAAUUUCCCAAACCUGUUGUGAUCUCCCAGCUUGAACAAGGUCAGGAGUCGUAUAUUCUUGAUCCACAGGGAGCUGGGUUAAGAGUGGCCCCAAGAAGCUCCUGCAUAGAUCCAGGUAUUAGAACCAAGAUUGGGGAUGAAAAAUCAGCUGAAAAACUUGAAAAACUAAUGUUUGAAAAUAAGGAGGCACACUGGGUCAUGAAAAGUACCCAGAAGAAUCAGUGUGGAAAAUCCAUAGGAGAAACACUGAAAAAUAAGAAUGAAAAUUCUAGGAAGGUGAAUGACAAAGCUAAGAAAAUUAUGAUGGAUGUGUCAGAACUAAAAGUCACAGAACCGAGUCAUUGGUAUCCAAAGCUAAACCUUGUCCAGAUGCUAAUGCUUUUGUGCCACAGUCCGGCUGGCUGGGCAGAAUAACUGGGGGUGAUGAACAACUUGUGUACGUUGAUACAGCAGGAGUGGAAGCCGUUUAUUGUAGGACAACAGAGGUAUUUAUACAUUCCACACAGCUUAUCUUAAUUAACAUAAACUAAAUACAGCAGUCAACCAAUAAGAAAUCUCCACAAUUAAUGGCUCGCUGGUGUUACUUCACAAACCACUGCCUCUGGCAUUUUGCCAGGCGCCAUCAGACUUGUUUACAGACUCUAACAUUUCUCUGGCAAAAUGCCAGGCGCCAUCCUGACUUGUUUACAGACUUUAACACUUUUGAAUUAAUGUAGAUGAAAGAAUUAAUGUAGAAAGAAUCCUCUCCCUGAACAUGUCCCAUGUAUUGGGGAUUGAACCCAGGGGCACUUAAUCAUUGAGUCACAUUCUCACCUCUUUUUAUUGAUUUUGAGACAGAGAUCUUUAAGUUGCUUUGGGGCCUCAUUAAAUUGCUGAGGUUGGUUUCAAAUUUGCCAUCUUCCCUGCCUCAGCCUCCACAGUCACUGGGAUUAUAGGCAGCUGUGCAUACAGUGCCCGGCAAUAUAUAGAUUUUUAAAAAAUUUCUCUUAGUUUUCUAGUUUCCAAAUAUAAAUAUUUAGCCUUCGGUAUCUCUUGGAUUCAACCAAUGCCAAUUGAAAAUAUUUGGAAGAAACUUGCAUUUAUACUGAACAUAGAUUUUUUUUCUUGUCAUUUCCCAAACAGCACAAUGUAACAACUAUUUACAUAGCAUCUACAUUACACUAGAUAUUAUAAGUAAUCUAAAUAUGUUUUAAAAUAUAUAAAAGAAUACGUGUAGGUUAUAUGUAAAUAAUAUGCCAUUUAAUUUGAGGGAGUUGAGUAUCCACAGAUUUUAGUAACUUAAGGAGUCCCCACAGAUAUUGAGGAAUGACUGUACUUAAAUAUACCUUCAAGAAAUGCUGUGAGGAUUUGAUAAUAUUAUGCAUGUGAAAGAAAAACAAUAUUAUCUUUCCCAUUUCCUAAGUCUUAGGUGUUUUGUAUGUCUUCAAAGUUAACACAAACUGAAGUUGUUGCUCCAGUAUUAAUCAUUUAAUAAGGAUCUUAUUUAUUCUGCAGAUUCAAUAUUUUCAUGAAGAUUAAUAAAAAUAUAUUCAUUUAUUAAUUCUACAGACAUUUACUGUUUUAAUUCAUGUCAGAAACUGAUUAGACACAGCAAAAUCAAACACUUAUUGUUGAAAAGCUCACCAAUGCUUUUCCCUCAAAUACAAAUACAAACAAGUAACUAAAAUAAAAUGGGAUAAUGCCAUAAUACUGAUAUAAUCAGGAUUUUAAGGGAAUUAAGAGAUAAAUUAAUGAUAUUUUGGAGGACUUUUCAGAUGAUACAAGAUUUUUAACUGGGUAUGAAAGAUUGAGUAGGAGAUUUUAAGUAAUACAUCAAAUGUCUUAUCAAGAUUUGGGAUCAGGUGUCAUCACAAAGGAAAGUUGAAAUCGUUUAUAAUAUUCACAAUUUCACCAGUCUAUACUUUAUUGCCUUCCAUAGUCCUAAUAACACCAUAAAGUUUAUAUUUCUUCAUGCUUUUCCUGUCCUCUUUUACCAUUUAUAAUUCUUCAUUUUUAUCAAGGCUAACGUGACUGAAAAUUUAAAGUUAUCUGCAAAGAGGAAUUACAUUACAAGGAAGAUAUGAUGUUUUCAUAAUGCAAAUUUGAAAGAGAAGAUCAUAAACUCUUAAUGACUGUCUUUGAAAUAUCACAGCAAGGGCAUCUUUCACAUGAAGAGAGGAUUUCCAAUCUCUGAAAUGGCUGACUUGUAGAGAAGUGAAGCAGUUUACUCUCCAGCCCAGGGAUUUCUAAAUUUGAAUGUAUUUGGUAGUAAAGUGAGAAGUGGGGGGAAAUCACAAGGGUGCUAAUUUUUUGUUUUGUCAAUGAAGAACAUCAAGCUUCCUUUCAAAAAUUUACCAUGUACUAUCACCAUCAUUCAAUACAAGAAAGAUCAUUAUAAAGCCAAAUUGCAUGAAGGGUAUGGUAUUAUUAAAUGCAACCUUUGUAGUGACUUCAUUUAAUCAUGAGUGAAACUUCUUAUUUUCCUAAUUUUUCAAGAUUUGUGGUGGUAGUGGUAGUGGAAAGUCUCUCAUGGACUGACUCUAAUCUGGAGUCCAACAUUAAGGAUAUUUAUCUAAGAAUUCUGAUUGAUAUCUAUGUUCUUUUCCAUAUCUACCAGGAAGGAAAAGAAUAUAGAUAUCAAGGACAUUCAUUAAAAUCUAUAAAACUAUGUUAAUUUUCUGUUAUGAGACACUUGAUAUCUCCCUAUUCCCUACAAUAGUGGUUCUUAAACUUCUGCUUCAUCAUAAUCAACUGGGAGCUUAUUUAAAAAAAUGUAGUUUGCUAAGUCCAUCCUCAGAUUGUUGACUCAAUAUUUCUGGAAUGAGGCUCAAGAACGUGCAUUUCUAAUAAGUUUCCAGGUGAUGCUAAUACUUCUGGUCCCAGGACCCCAGUUUCCUCCAUGAUAAAACCCAAAUUCCUUACCAGGUCAUAUAAGGGUUAGAGUUAAGUUACUCUAAUAGAAAGCCCCCCAAUACAGAGGCUUAAUUAAUAUUACAAACAAUGGAAGAAUUUUUUCCUGUAAUGGUCUGAAACUGUUGCUCUGCCAGUUACAUACUUAUUACAUUCUUUCUCAUGGGUUCUGUUUCCAUUUGUGUGGUCCAAGUGAGAUACCCUCCAUAUUCACAUUCCAGCAAAUAGGAAAGGGAGUAAGGAAGGUGAUAGAAGUAGAUUCAUGUGAAACCCAUUACUUUCCUGACAUUGUAUUGGUGGAGACCAAACUAAGAGUGUGAUUUGCAGCAUGGUGGCCAUAUAUCUAGCUAAAACUUCAGGUGGAAUAUGUAUUGGUAGAUAGCCUCCACCACAAAGGCUGGUCAGCAUUCUCGUGUGAAUGAAGAGGAGUGUCAUUUCUGAUAGAGUAGUAUGUCUUGGAAGAAUAAAAACUGUCCAGAUAACUCUACAUGAACAUAGAUGUCCAUGUGAAAUUUUUCUUAAUAUCUUUUGCAUAACUCUAUUACUGUAUUUACUACAUUUUAUAAUUAGUUAUUUUAUCCCAUAGAUAUUUAUGUAUUUAUGUCUCCAUAUCAUUUCUCUAUAUUUCCUAUUUAAAAAGUUGAACAUUGUAUCUUGGUACAUUG
rnacentral:lncRNA from 1 species